GGUAAUUUAGUUUAUACAAAACAAAUGUUUUGAAAACAUUUAAAGAGAAAUAAUUUCUCAAUCACCA
rnacentral:tRNA from 1 species